CUGGAAGGCACCAGAAGGCGGACACCUACCUGGAGCUGGGAUGGAUUUCUGGUCUGUCCUCGGCCUCCCUGGCUUGGUGACAGGCAGGAGCUCUGCCUGCGCCCGCUGAUCUCUUUCUCACCAUUGAGUGCCUGCUGUGUGCCAAGCGUCCUGCCAGGGCCUGCAAGGAUGAGACACACUGACCCUCUAGGAAGCACCUCUAUUUGGGGAGGUGGGCUUGGUGAUCUUCAUGUAGAUGGGGCUUUCCUGUGGCGCUGCCUUCCUUCACUUCCUCGUGGGAUCCUGGCAGCCGCUGGUGAGAUGGGAAACGGACUGAGAAUCAGCAGAGCUGGGACCGGAACCCGGGCCUUCUGCAGCUCCAGACUCUGCUCUUCCCUGCACGCGCUGCCUCUGCUGCUCUUUAUGGUGGUGGCCAAAGGAGCCGUGCUGACGGGAAGGAUGAGUGAGGCCGAUAUUCCUGUGCUGCUGGGAGGCCUUGCAGGAGGUAGCCUCCACCACCUUGAAGGAGGAGAAGGAGGAGGAAAAGCUGGGAGAGAGUGCGCCACACCUGCGGCAGCCGAGCUUGGAGUCUCCACCAGGUGGUUCUUCGGUGCCAUCGGGGCCAGCAGGACGAGUGGACAGGACAGGACGAUUCACAGCAUCCUCUCUCUUCUUAAGAGCACUAACAUAGGGUUGACAUGAGGCUGAACUGGCAUAAAGCACGUACAGCGCUUAGCGCAGGGCGUGGUGGAAAGUGCUCAAUAAAUGAUGCCUAAAUGCAGAUAAUAGAGCAUUUCCAUCAUUGUUCAAACUUUUAAUGGAUGUGCUGCAUAGACAGCUGUGCUGUCCAAUAUGGUAGCUGUUGGCCACUUGGGGCUCCUGAGCACUUGAAAUGUGACUUGUCCAAAUUGAGAUGUGUUGUCAACGUGAAAUAUAC
rnacentral:lncRNA from 1 species